rnacentral:rRNA from 1 species
UACGUAGGGUGCGAGCGUUAAUCGGAAUUACUGGGCGUAAAGCGUGCGCAGGCGGUUUUGUAAGUCAGAUGUGAAAUCCCCGGGCUCAACCUGGGAACUGCGUUUGAAACUACAAGGCUAGAGUGUAGAAGAGGGGGGUAGAAUUCCACGUGUAGCAGUGAAAUGCGUAGAGAUGUGGAGGAAUACCGAUGGCGAAGGCAGCCCCCUGGGCUAACACUGACGCUCAUGCACGAAAGCGUGGGGAGCAAACAGGAUUAGAUACCCUGGUAGUCCACGCCCUAAACGAUGUCUACUAGUUGUUGGAGGAGUAAAAUCCUUUAGUAACGCAGCUAACGCGUGAAGUAGACCGCCUGGGGAGUACGGUCGCAAGAUUAAA